rnacentral:rRNA from 1 species
AACGAACGCUGGCGGCAGGCUUAACACAUGCAAGUCGAACGCCCCGCAAGGGGAGUGGCAGACGGGUGAGUAACGCGUGGGAAUCUACCCAGUUCUACGGAAUAACCCAGGGAAACUUGGACUAAUACCGUAUACGCCCUACGGGGGAAAGAUUUAUCGGAAUUGGAUGAGCCCGCGUUGGAUUAGCUAGUUGGUGGGGUAAUGGCCUACCAAGGCGACGAUCCAUAGCUGGUCUGAGAGGAUGAUCAGCCACGCUGGGACUGAGACACGGCCGAGACUCCUACGGGAGGCAGCAGUGGGGAAUAUUGGACAAUGGGCGCAAGCCUGAUCCAGCCAUGCCGCGUGAGUGAUGAAGGCCUUAGGGUUGUAAAGCUCUUUCAGUGGGGACGAUAAUGACGGUACCCACAGAAGAAGCCCCGGCUAACUUCGUGCCAGCCGCCGCGGUAAAAC